AGAAUCAACGCUGGCGGCGUGCCUAACACAUGCAAGUCGAACGAGAAAGUGGAGCAAUCCAUGAGUAAAGUGGCGACCGGGUGAGUAACACGUGACUAACCUACCUUCGAGUGGGGGAUAACCUCGGGAAACCGAGGCUAAUACCGCAUAACAUCGCAAGAUCAAAGCAGCAAUGCGCUGGAAGAGGGGGUCGCGGCUGAUUAGCUAGUUGGCGGGUAACGCCCACAAGGCGAAGAUCGGUAGCCGGCCUGAGAGGGCGCACGGCCACACUGGAACUGAAACACGGUCCAGACUCCUACGGGAGGCAGCAGUGGGAAUUUUGCGCAAUGGGGGAAACCCUGACGCAGCAACGCCGCGUGGAGGAUGAAGCCCCUUGGGGCGUAAACUCCUUUCGACCAAGACGAUAAUGACGGUACUGGUGGAAGAAGCACCGGCUAACUCUGCGCCAGCAGCCGC
rnacentral:rRNA from 1 species